rnacentral:rRNA from 1 species
CCUACGGGAGGCAGCAGUGGGGAAUAUUGCACAAUGGGGGAAACCCUGAUGCAGCGACGCCGCGUGAGUGAAGAAGUCCUUCGGGGUGUAAAGCUCUGUCAGCAGGGAAGAAAAUGACGGUACCUGACUAAGAAGCCCCGGCUAACUACGUGCCAGCAGCGGCGGUAAUACGUAGGGGGCAAGCGUUAUCCGGAUUUACUGGGUGUAAAGGGGGCGUAGACGGCGACGCAAGUCGGGAGUGAAAGGCCGGGGCUCAACCCUGGAACUGCUUUUGAAACUGUGUAGCUGGAGUGCAGGAGAGGUAAGCGGAAUUCCUAGUGUAGCGGUGAAAUGCGUAGAUAUCAGGAGGAACACCAGUGGCGAAGGCGGCCUACUGGACUGCAACUGACGUUGAGGCCCGAAGGCGUGGGGAGCAAACAGGAUUAGAUACCCUUGUAGUC